rnacentral:rRNA from 1 species
CGGACGGGUGAGUAAUGCCUAGGAAUCUGCCUGGUAUGGGGGACAACGUUUCGAAAGGAACGCUAAUACCGCAUACGCCUACGGGAGAAAGCAGGGGACCUUCGGGCCUUGCGCUAUCAGAUGAGCCUAGGUCGGAUUAGCUAGUUGGUGAGGUAAUGGCUCACCAAGGCGACGAUCCGUAACUGGUCUGAGAGGAUGAUCAGUCACACUGGAACUGAGACACGGUCCAGACUCCUACGGGAGGCAGCAGUC